AGAAAAUGGUAACUGACGCCAAUAGAUGUGAACAGUACCAUGGGCAUAACGGAGUAUACUGGUUCGCCCAAGAUAUUCCCCAUGCGUUGCCAUUCCUGAAGACUAAGGCAGAGGCGCGGAGUCAGGCAGUGGUCGCAGUCUCCGGGGCAGUGCUGGCGCGGCGGGCGGAGGCGUGGAUCUAGCCCGACGUCUUACUGGAACUGGAGAGCAUGUGGAAGCGCUGCAGGAAGCGGCUCUUGGCCCAUCCUGGUCACCAGUGCAGGCAGCAGUUGACGCGCGCAGUCGUUGCUUGUGCCACGAACCAGCGCGCAGACCGCAC